UGACUCGGUUAACCGAUUGGUUAGCCGGUUUAAAUUGAUUUCAAUUCGGUUAGGUUAAACCGGUCGGUUAAAAUCAAUUGGAAAUCGGUUAGGAUAAACCGGAUUAAUUAAUUUAUUAAUUAAUUAAUUAAUUAAUUAAAUAAUUGAUCUUUGACCAGUGGGUUGACUUUUCCGUAAAUACCCGUUUUAAACCGUUCGAAAGGCGUUCUGACUCGAAAUUUCGAUCUGAUUUCAGAUUUGGAGUCCAUUUGAGCAGCUGGAGUUCAUAUAUACCACUUCUCUUCAUUGCUAAGGUGAGACCGACGAGCAGAAGUGAUUAUACCGGACCGGUGCUUUUGGGCUUUUACUACUAUUGGGCUUUUGGGCAUCUAUCUUUUUAUCGCUUUUAUCGUUAUCGGGCCUCUAGGCCUUUGGGCUUUUAUCGUUUAUGUUAUUUCGUAUUUCGGACUCUCGGUUUAUGUCGUACUUUAUGUUUCAGAUUUUAUUUUAUAUUAUGGAA